AAUAGAAUAUGCCAAGUUUCUUCAGGAUACUGUCAAAGAAAUGGCAAAGGAAGUCCAAAACUCACGGAGUGGAGAAAUUAAGAAAACUGCUGAGGAUCUUGAUGAGUUUUUGAACAGGGUUAGAAGGGGUGCAGGUGUCUCUAAUGAGGAGAUUUUGGGCUUUGCUAAGCUUUUCAAUGAUGAACUAACUUUGGAUAAUAUUAGCAGGCCUCGGUUGGUCAGUAUGUGCAAGUACAUGGGAAUCAGCCCUUUUGGAACAGAUGCAUACUUGCGUUAUAUGCUUCGUAAAAGACUCCAAAGGAUCAAGAACGAUGAUAAGUUGAUUCAAGCAGAGGGUGUGGAGUCUCUUUCAGAGGCCGAACUUCGUGAAGAAUGUAGGGAGCGAGGCAUGCUCGGUUUGUUAUCGGUUGAAGAAAUGCGGCAACAGCUUCGUGAUUGGUUGGAUCUGUCUCUCAGUCACUCUGUUCCAUCUUCCCUUAUGAUCCUUUCAAGGGCCUUUACUGUGUCUGGAAAAUUGAAACCAGAGGAAGCUGUUCAAGCAACGCUGUCUUCCCUGCCUGAUGAGGUUGUGGAUACUGUUGGUGUCACAUCAUUGCCAUCAGAGGAUUCUGUUUCUGAAAGGAGGAGGAAGCUGGAGUAUCUUGAGAUGCAGGAAGAACUGAUCAAGGAGGAGGAAGAAAAAGAGGAAGAGGAGCUUUCCAGAAUGAAAGAAUCUAAAGUUAAUCAGGAGGAUGUGGCGCUGAAAGAGAUGAUUACACCCACAGCACGUGAAGCACAAGAACUGGCUAGAGCAAGAACAUUGGAGAAACAAGAGCAGCUUUGUGAACUUAGUCGCGCACUUGCAGUUUUAGCUUCAGCAUCUUCAGUGAGUAGAGAACGUGAAGAGUUCUUAAGCCUAGUCAAUAAGGAGAUAGAGCUUUACAAUAGCACGGUAGAGAAGGAGGGCACAGAUGGUGAAAAAGAGGCCAUUAGGGCUUAUAAAGCAGCCCGAGAUGAAAGUGAUCAUGCUUCUGAAGUGGAUGAGCGUGACAAUAUUUCUUCAGCACUAAUAGAUAAGGUUGAUGCCAUGCUGCAAAAACUUGAAAAGGAAAUUGAUGAUGUAGAUGCUAAAAUUGGUGAUCAUUGGAGACUACUAGACAGGGAUUAUGAUGGCAAAGUUACACCUGAAGAGGUAGCGGCUGCUGCUAUAUAUUUGAAGGAUACAUUAGACAAGGAAGGUGUUCAAGAACUCAUCAGCAAUCUUUCCAAAGAUGGAGAUGGGAAGAUUCUUGUCGAAGACAUUGUCAAAUUGGGCAGUCGAAUGGAAGAUGGCAACAACAGCGCCGAAUAGUGGAAGUUGGAUAUUUUAUACAACUUUUCAUUCAUUCUAUUUUCCUGAUACUAAUACCUGCCUAAUCAGGAUUUUAGUUGGCUGAUCAAGAGCAUGCUUUCAAUUUCUCGAUGUUGGCCUCUAUACCUAGGUACUAUUUUGGAGUCAUAUAUAUAUAUAUACAGCUUUAGAUUCUUGUCAUCCUGAUGAGAUUGCAGAUUGGCAUGUUUUUACUAGUGCUGUAAAAAUUAAUGAUGAUACACGAGAACAAAAAUAUAUAUGUAUACAGAAA
rnacentral:misc_RNA from 1 species